UUUUAUUUUAUUUUAUUUUAUUUUUUUAUUUAUUUUAUUUUAUUUUUGGGUUAUGCGCUGCUUCUGAUGGCAGUAAUGAUAGCAUCUACUGAGGGAUGCUAGAAAAUUUUUGAAUCCACUGAAGGAUUCCAGGAAGGCACACCUACUGAUGGGUGAUGGGAGGUAUUGCACUUACUAACAAGUGCUAAACAGGUUUGGGUCAGGCUCGUGACGUUAAACAAGCGCUACUAGGAGGCAACCUAGAUUUCUUCUUACACCUUUGCAUUCCUAGAAUAGGUUGAAUUUUAAUUUUGGUGUGUACUCUUGGCUUUACUACUUGUUCUGAAAAUGUUUGACUAACUAAUUUGCAUGAUGGAUCUAUUUGAUGAUUAUUUGAUGUGGAAGAGAAUUGAGUAGUAAUGCAUGUUGAUAUCUA
rnacentral:lncRNA from 1 species